GUUCAAAAAGAUAUGACGCAUUUUGUUUUUUAAAUACAAUUAGUACAGAGUACUUACUCAUCAUCAAUACUAAGCGUGUUCGUCUGGGAAGUUAUCUUUAUUUAAUUUACUCUCAUUAUUUAUUUUAGAAAACACAUUCCUUUGCGAUUUUCAAGAAGCAGUGCUAAAAAUAAACUUUUGCGUUUAAUACCAGUUUUGGAUCAUAAAAAUAUUUGCAGUUAUUGAUAAAUGAACAGCGGAAAAUGCAAGAAGAUGACACAGAAGAAAAUCUAAACGUGGAAAAUGAUGUAGAAUCAUCUCAUGAUGAAGCACUUCAGGCUAUGGAAACAGCUCUCAAAUUGUUUGAAAAACAAACAGAGAUUGAUACUGUGAGUUUACUACAGCUGAAACGAAUUCGUGAUAUAGCAGCAAUGAAGAGAAAAAGUAUUAGAGAAAUAUUAUUAUUCAUUAAUAAAUAUUACUAUUAUUAAA